rnacentral:rRNA from 1 species
GACGAACGCUGGCGGCGUGCUUAACACAUGCAAGUCGAACGGAAAGGCCCCUUUGGGGGUACUCGAGUGGCGAACGGGUGAGUAACACGUGAGUAACCUGCCCUUGACUUCGGGAUAACUUCAGGAAACUGGGGCUAAUACCGGAUAGGAAUCCUUGCUGCAUGGUGGGGGUUGGAAAGCUUCGGCGGUUUUGGAUGGACUCGCGGCUUAUCAGCUUGUUGGUGGGGUAGUGGCUUACCAAGGCUUUGACGGGUAGCCGGCCUGAGAGGGCGACCGGCCACAUUGGGACUGAGAUACGGCCCAGACGCCUACGGGAGGCAGCAGUGGGGAAUAUUGCACAAUGGGCGGAAGCCUGAUGCAGCAACGCCGCGUGCGGGAUGACGGCCUUCGGGUUGUAAACCGCUUUCAGCAGGGGCGAAGCUUGUGGUGACGUUACCUGCAGAAGAAGCACCGGCUAACUACGUG